rnacentral:rRNA from 1 species
CUAACACGCUGGCGGCGUGCCUAACACAUGCAAGUCGAACGAGAAAGUGGAGCAAUCCAUGAAGUAAAGUGGCGACCGGGUGAGUAACACGUGACUAACCUACCUCCGAGUGGGGAAUAACUCCGGGAAACCGGGGCUAAUACCGCAUAACAUCGCGAGAUCAAAGCAGCAAUGCGCUUGGAGAGGGGGUCGCGGCUGAUUAGCUAGUUGGCGGGGUAACGGCCCACCAAGGCGAAGAUCGGUAUCCGGCCUGAGAGGGCGCACGGACGCACUGGAACUGAAACACGGUCCAGACUCCUACGGGAGGCAGCAGUGGGGAAUUUUGCGCAAUGGGGGAAACCCUGACGCAGCAACGCCGCGUGGAGGAUGAAGCCCUUUGGGGCGUAAACUCCUUUCGACCAAGACGAUAAUGACGGUACUGGUGGAAGAAGCACCGGCUAACUCUGUGCCAGCAGCCGCGGUAAUACAGAGGGUGCAAGCGUUGUUCGGAAUUAUUGGGCGUAAAGGGCGCGUAGGCGGUGCCACAAGUCACCUGUGAAAUCUCCGGGCUUAACUCGGAGCCUGCAGGCGAAACUGUGGUGCUGGAGUGUGGGA